AUUUCGGGACAACAACGUGUUGACAGAACCCGGCUUCUAAACUACUGAGAAGUGGGAAGGGAAGACGUGAUUUGAAAUAAAGAUGAUACCACUAGCGAUUUUGGCUGUGGCCUUAUCCUCGGCCUCUGCCCUAUACUCCAGCUCAGAUGAUGUCUUAGAGUUAACCCCCUCUAAUUUCAACAAAGAAGUCACCAUGUAUGAUGGUCUUGUGUUUGUGGAGUUUUAUGCACCAUGGUGUGGACAUUGUCAAUCAUUGGCUCCCGAGUGGAAAAAAGCAGCCACUGCUCUCAAGGGGGUUGUGAAGAUUGCAGCAGUAAAUGCUGAUGAGCACCAAAGCUUAGGAGGACAAUAUCAGAUCCAAGGGUUCCCCACCAUCAAAGUCUUUGGUGCCAAUAAAAACAGUCCAUCUGACUACCAAGGUGGAAGAACAGCCGAUGCCAUUGUUGACACAGCUCUUUCCAAACUGAAAUCUCUGGUUCAGGACAGGCUGAAAGGUCGUGGUGGAUCAAGUGGUCGAAGUGGUGGCAGUGGUGGAAAGUCGGGUGGCGGCAGUGCUGACGAUGUGGUAGAGCUGACAGACAGUAACUUUGAGCGGCUGGUGCUGGACAGUGACGACAUGUGGUUGGUCGAGUUCUUUGCCCCGUGGUGUGGACAUUGUAAGAACCUGGCCCCACACUGGCAGAGUGCUGCCUCAGAGAUGAAGGGAAAGGUCAAGUUUGGAGCUCUGGAUGCUACAGUGCACAGCGUCAUGGCCAACAGAUACGGGGUCCGAGGAUAUCCCACAAUCAAGAUGUUCCCUGCCGGUAAGAAGGACGGAGAUGCCAUGGAAUAUGAUGGAGGGCGAACCUCUUCAGACAUUGUCAACUGGGCCACAGAAAAACUCGCUGAGAACCUUCCUCCCCCACAUUCUGGACUGUCAGUCCAAGUGUCGAAAUGACUACAUUCAGAUCCUGAAGGACCUGAGCACAAAGUACAAGAAACAACCCUGGGGAUGGGUGUGGUCUGAAGCGGGUCAACAGAUGGAGCUUGAGGCUGCUCUUGGCAUUGGUGGAUUUGGUUAUCCGGCUAUGGCAGCUGUAAACACAAGAAAACAAGUUUAUGUUUUACUGAAGGGUCCGUUUAGUGAAAAAGGCAUUAAUGAAUACCUCAGAGAUUUAUCAUACGGCAAGGGUGCUCCUAUCCCUCUCAAAGAUACCAAGAUUGCCAACAUCGAAAAAACUGAACCCUGGGAUGGAAAAGAUGGAGAGCUCCCUGUUGAAGAUGAUAUAGAUCUGAGCGACAUUGACCUGGAUGAUGGAAAAGAUGAACUAUAGUGACUAUUUUGGAAGGAGUUAGUGUGUGCAUGUGUGUACAUGUGUUUAUCUGAGAGUGAAUGAAUAAGAGGGAAAAUUUGUUGUUUUUUGGGUGUAUUUUGUAUUUGUCUUAUUUCAUUCCUCAUGGUGAGUGUUGAUGGGAUAGUAUUUGAAUCAGAGGUCACAAGAUGACCCUUUUAACUGUAAUUUAUGUCAGGUUUUUGACAUUUCAAUGUAUAAAUGUUUAUAUUGUCACUACAUCUACUUUCGUUUUUUUUAAAUUGAAAAUCCAAGUGACACGGGGAAGAAGAAUCAUCUGAUUAUGUUAUAUGAUAUCAGGUUUUUUUAUGCUGAUGACCAGAAGAAUGCAGCCAAUUGGAUGCUAUUUUUGUAAUUGAUGGUGUGAAUGCUUUAUGACAAUUUAUUUAUCAUUUAUGAAUGUUGAAAAUUUAUUAAAAAAUGUAAAAUUU
rnacentral:misc_RNA from 1 species